rnacentral:tRNA from 1 species
UAGCUCUGUGGUAGAGCACUGGCCCAGCAUGCUUGAAGCUCUGGGUUCAAUUCCCAG